rnacentral:lncRNA from 1 species
AAAUUAUUCCAGCCCUAUUUUUAGAUGUCUCUGUGCAGAGCAACAGCUGGAUGUCGAGGGAUUAGGGUGUUAGAAAAUUCAACCUGGUGGCCUCUGGCAAGUAUGGAGAGAUAUCGUCUCAUAGCCGUGUGAAUUUGUGGAUUUUUUGGAUUUCAAGUUAUUUCAGCCUGUUCCUUCCCCAUGCUGUUUUAGGUCUUUCCUUAAGGCAGCCCCUUUUGGAGAGCUGGUGAGGGGAGAAGCAUGACCUGCUUACUGCAAAUUGGCUUUAUCGUAAUAUAAUGCAUUGAGUAAAUCACCAGCCUUCAGACUGUGGUCACUGGCUGGUGAAAUAGGAUCCUAAAUUAUUGCAAGAUCUGUCAUUACAGGAAGCCAUUAAGGUUUUGGCUGCUCUUAAGCAGUCAUUUCAGGACACCUUGCAGACACAGACCCACUGGGUGGUUGAGACACAGAAACAGAGCAGCUCUGCUGUCACCGGUGUGAUCCUGGGCUGCAAAGGUCCACUGAAGCAUCUGCUGUGCCAGAGGAGAAAAGCCUGGAUGCCUGGAGUCUCAAUGAUGCAGAAAAACUGGAUGGAAUCUCACUGGAAGAGCAUCCUGAAGUUGUGAAAAAACCUUUUUCCUUAGGGACUGGAAGAUUUAGUGUAAACUGUACCAAAGUCUGAAGACAGAAAGCCUCCACAUAGAAGCUUG